GAGCCUGCAGCUGCAGCUCCUGAGCAAGAGCAAGUGGAGGCCACAGCAACUGAUUCAGAGCCCAAAACAGAGGAGGAACCAGCUCCCAGUGAAUGAAGUGCAACAUGAAACGACUGCACAGAUGAGUUUGUUGGAAAUGUCGUACCUUGUUGUAUGUGUGAGUGAAAGCAUGUGUAGGUGUUAUUGUGUGAAAGACAUCGCCUUGUUGCCAAGAUGCAGAUAAAAUGCUUUCAGUCAGGGUUCCUCAGCCAUCACUGAGCCUUGUUCCCCUCAUGACGGUGUAUGGCUGCAAUUUCUGCUAGCAAACUGUACAUAUACAGAGUUCUACGGCACUUAGUUUUUAUUUUCAGAAGAUGUCAUCAGUUCAGGAUAUCUUAAAUAUAUAAACUGUCUCUGAAAUGUCUUUCAUUAUCUUAUAGAAAUUUAUAAUCGCAGAUUUUCUUGAUUUAACUUUUCAACAAACAUAAUUCUAAGGAAACCAAAGCCAAAUUUGAUUUAUUAAACUGUUAUUUUUUGGGUAUAAAAAUCAUAUGGUAGCUGGCUUUGAUUUUAUAACCAUGUUUGUAAUGAAUAUGAAGAGCUUUGAGGACUGUAAACAUUAAUAUAAGAGCACAAAUGAGAUAAAAGUAUACAUGAAAGGUUUGUUUCUGAUGUGUCAGAAUUUCU